GACGAAGGUGGCGAGCGUUACUCGGAAUUACUAGGCGUAAAGCGUGGGCAGGCGGUUCGGUAAGUCUGUUGUGAAAGCUCCCGGCUUAACCGGGAGAGGUCAAUGGAUACUGCCGAACUUGAAUAUGGGAGAGGUGACUGGAAUUCCUGGUGUAGCGGUGAAAUGCGUAGAGAUCAGGAGGAACACCAAUGGCGAAAGCAGGUCACUGGACCAUUAUUGACGCUCAUCCACGAAAGCUGGGGGAUCAAACAGG
rnacentral:rRNA from 1 species